rnacentral:lncRNA from 1 species
ACACUUUGUGGGUUCUAUUUAGAUGAUCAUUCAACACAAGGGAAAGACUUGAGUUACUUCCAACAGAGGUCUAUUCGUCAGUCAAAACGUUAAUCUUGAAGGAGCAAAGGUUUGUUCAUGAGCUAUCAUGCUCGCUAGGCGAAGCCCACGUGUUUUGAAAAAAAAACGAAAAAAAAAAUGAAAAAAAAAACGAAAAAUAAAUAA